rnacentral:rRNA from 1 species
AACGAACGCUGGCGGCAUGCCUAACACAUGCAAGUCGAACGAGAACUUCGGGUCUAGUGGCGCACGGGUGCGUAACGCGUGGGAACCUGCCCUUAGGUUCGGAAUAACUCCCCGAAAGGGGUGCUAAUACCGGAUAAUGUCUUCGGACCAAAGAUUUAUCGCCUUUGGAUGGGCCCGCGUUGGAUUAGCUAGUUGGUAGGGUAAAAGCCUACCAAGGCGACGAUCCAUAGCUGGUCUGAGAGGAUGAUCAGCCACACUGGGACUGAGACACGGCCCAGACUCCUACGGGAGGCAGCAGUGGGGAAUAUUGGACAAUGGGCGAAAGCCUGAUCCAGCAAUGCCGCGUGAGUGAUGAAGGCCUUAGGGUUGUAAAGCUCUUUUACCCGGGAUGAUAAUGACAGUACCGGGAGAAUAAGCGCCGGCUAACUCCGUG